CCUACGGGUGGCUGCAGUGGGGAAUAUUGCACAAUGGGGGAAACCCUGAUGCAGCGACGCCGCGUGUGGGAAGACGGUCCUCUGGAUUGUAAACCACUGUCCCCAGGGACGAAGAUGACGGUACCUGGGGAGGAAGCUCCGACUAACUACAUGCCAGCAGCCGCGUUAAUACGUAGGGAGCAAGCGUUGUCCGGAAUUACUGGGUGUAAAGGGAGCGUAGGCGGGAUGGCAAGUUGGGUGUUAAAUCUACCGGCUCAACUGGUAGUCUCAAUCAACACUGCUAUUCUUGAGUGAAGUAGAGGCAGGCGGAAUUCCUAGUGUAGCGGUGAAAUGCGUAGAUAUUAGGAGGAACACCAGUGGCGAAGGCGGCCUGCUGGGCUUUUACUGACGCUGAGGCUCGAAAGUGUGGGGAGCAAACAGGAUUAGAUACCCUGGUAGUC
rnacentral:rRNA from 1 species